rnacentral:rRNA from 1 species
GAUGCUAGAAUAGGAGUCGGAACGAGGUCUCUGGUGGUGAACCAGCGGAGGGAUCAUUA